ACCUGUGCUACGUUUCACAUUGGCUGCCUAUUAGCUGUUGACUGUGGGCAAGUCACUUAACCACUCUGAACCUCACUUUCCUCAAAUAUGAAAUGGGAUAAGACGUGUCCUUACUGUAAAGACCAACUGUAAAGGCGGUAAAGGCUGUAAAGACCAACUGGAUGAACAUUUUGCAAAGUCUAAGAGGCCACACAAAUGUCGCUGGUAGCACCUGCCCAUGUCUCUUGGACGUGGCUGUUAAAGAAGUGAAGCGGAUGAUCGCAGAGUCUGAAAGAUCUAGAUGCCACUGAAAAGUUUUCUGAAGAUCAGCUUUUCUUUUUAAACAUUUUAAGAAAUGGAUAAAAAUCUCUGCAAAACUUCUACUUGGAGGAGAAACACUUACCCAGAAUGCUUCAUGUUUUGAGGCUUAUCCAUUCGGACAGCAAGUUUGAUUUUGAGGUCUUGAUCAGGGCAGUUUUUGGAGACUGUCAUUUUGUGCCACUCGGACUGUUUGGGGCUGUUUGGGGUGGGAUGGAGGAUAACCUGUAGGCACAAAGAACAUGGAUCUUAGCCAGAAAGUGGGAACACUGGGACAAGCAUGUUGUUUUCAAUGAGAAACUUCGCUGCUGAGAAGCUGAGCUGCCCCAGGGAGGCAUUUAAAUAAAACAGGGCCUUGGCCUUGGGACUACAGUCCAAGGCUCCUCUACCAACCAUGGCUCCCUCUUGCCAAGCAGAUCAGCCAGAGGACGGAAGUGGUCUCUUGCUCUCCUCUCUCUCUCCUGGGCUAAUUCAGUAAAAGUA